GGAGCCACCAGGGGGAAAUUGUCCCACAGGGGGAAAACCCUAGACCAGGAACCCCGUGAGAGAGAAGAGCCCUUUGGGGGUUAAACCUCUUUCUCCAGGAGGAGAAGACUCCCUUUUGGGGGUGACGGUACUUGCAGAAGAAGCGCCGGCUAACUACGUGCCAGCAGCCGCGGUAAUACGUAGGGCGCAAGCGUUAUCCGGAAUUAUUGGGCGUAAAGAGCUCGUAGGCGGUUUGUCGCGUCUGCCGUGAAAGUCCGAGGCUCAACCUCGGAUCUGCGGUGGGUACGGGCAGACUAGAGUGAUGUAGGGGAGACUGGAAUUCCUGGUGUAGCGGUGAAAUGCGCAGAUAUCAGGAGGAACACCGAUGGCGAAGGCAGGUCUCUGGGCAUUUACUGACGCUGAGGAGCGAAAGCAUGGGGAGCGAACAGGAUUAGAUACCCUGGUAGUCCAUGCCGUAAACGUUGGGCACUAGGUGUGGGGGACAUUCCACGUUUUCCGCGCCGUAGCUAACGCAUUAAGUGCCCCGCCUGGGGAGUACGGCCGCAAGGCUAAAACUCAAAGGAAUUGACGGGGGCCCGCACAAGCGGCGGAGCAUGCGGAUUAAUUCGAUGCAACGCGAAGAACCUUACCAAGGCUUGACAUGUUCCAGACCGGGCCAGAGAUGGUCUUUCCCCUUUUGGGGCUGGUUCACAGGUGGUGCAUGGUUGUCGUCAGCUCGUGUCGUGAGAUGUUGGGUUAAGUCCCGCAACGAGCGCAACCCUCGUUCCAUGUUGCCAGCGGGUUAUGCCGGGGACUCAUGGGAGACUGCCGGGGUCAACUCGGAGGAAGGUGGGGAUGACGUCAAAUCAUCAUGCCCCUUAUGUCUUGGGCUUCACGCAUGCUACAAUGGCCGGUACAAUGGGUUGCGAUACUGUGAGGUGGAGCUAAUCCCUAAAAGCCGGUCUCAGUUCGGAUUGGGGUCUGCAACUCGACCCCAUGAAGUCGGAGUCGCUAGUAAUCGCAGAUCAGCAACGCUGCGGUGAAUACGUUCCCGGGCCUUGUACACACCGCCCGUCAAGUCACGAAAGUUGGUAACACCCGAAGCCGAUGGCCUAACCACCUUGUGUGGGGGGAGUCGUCG
rnacentral:rRNA from 1 species